rnacentral:rRNA from 1 species
UAGGGAAUCUUCGGCAAUGGACGGAAGUCUGACCGAGCAACGCCGCGUGAGUGAAGAAAGGUUUUCGGAUCGUAAAGCUCUGUUGUAAGAGAAGAACGAGUGUGAGAGUGGAAAGUUCACACUGUGACGGUAUCUUACCAGAAAGGGACGGCUAACUACGUGCCAGCAGCCGCGGUAAUACGUAGGUCCCGAGCGUUGUCCGGAUUUAUUGGGCGUAAAGCGAGCGCAGGCGGUUAGAUAAGUCUGAAGUUAGAGGCUGUGGCUUAACCAUAGUACGCUUUGGAAACUGUUAAUUUGAGUGCAAGAGGGGAGAGUGGAAUUCCAUGUGUAGCGGUGAAAAUGCGUAGAUAUAUGGAGAACACCGGUGGCGAAAAGCGGCUCUCUGGCUUGUAACUGACGCUGAGGCUCGAAAGCGUGGGGAGCAAAACAGGAUUAGAUACCCUGGUAGUCCACGCCGUAAACGAUGAGUGCUGGUGUUAGACCCUUUCCGGGGUUUAGUGCCGUAGCUAACGCAUUAAGCACUCC